UACACUGACACGCUCUCUGUCUUCUGAGAUGGCCUCUGGCAGAUAAGUGGAGUUUUCUCUCUUUUUAAGAAAAUUUAUUAGACUCUAAACAAAGUUAUGCUUUUGAAAUUUAAGAUACCAGAUGUUAUGUUUCAUGGAUCUGUCUCUUCACUGAUGAAGAGACCAUUAGAACCAUCAGGAUUAAAACCUGAAGGUUUGGUUUUCUAAUGGGAAUUAUCUUAAUGGUUAUCAUUAUCACACGUUUUCUGUAGGACACCUUUGGAUCCAAUAAAGAAAGGAGGUGAAAGUAGGGAGAGAGUUGAGCAUCCUGACAGCCUAGUGGAUGAAGCUGAUCCCCCAGUCUGCUGGUCCUGACCCGGAGCCUCUGUCUUCUUCUUGAUGGCAGCAGGCUGAAGAAGCUGUGUAGUGGCAGGAGGCGGGCAUUGCUGCUAGAGCGUGAUGAUUGACUGGCGAACGGAGCAGCUCAUUGGCUCUUCGCGCUCACUGAUAUCAUGGACGUACACGAGGAGGAAAUCCCUGCAGACACGCGGAGAACAUACAAACUCCAAACAGAAAGGACCCUGAUUGCCUAGCCAGAGAAUCGAACCCAGGCCCUUUUUGGUGUGAGGUGGUGCUACCCACUGUACCAUGUGCCACCUAGAACCACAGCUCUAUGUUAUGAAAUAUAUCCAUAAGUACCUAUAUACACUGACCAGCCACUUCCUUGUUUUUACACUCA